rnacentral:tRNA from 1 species
GCAGGUGUGGCGAAACUGGCAGACGCGCUAGAUUUAGGUUCUAGUUCCGAAAGGAGUGCAGGUUCAAUUCCUGUCACCUGUA